rnacentral:rRNA from 1 species
UGAGUAACUGCGCUCCUGAGCUGUUGUACCGGUUUUCCAUGGUUUGCUUUAAUCGGCAGGCUGUGGUGGCUGGUGUGUUUACCUUGAUAAAUCAAAAUGCUCAAGAUAGGCGUCUCGCCUGAAUGACAGUGCAUGGAAUAUGGGAAUACGACUUCGGUUUUAUUCUGUUGGUCUUGGAACCGAUGUAAUGGUUCAGAGGGACUCACGGGGGCCAUUUGUAUCGAUGCGUGAGAGGUGAAAUUCUUGGACCGCCAUCGAGACAAACUACUGCGAAAGCAUUUGCCAAGAAAGUCUUCUUUAAUCAAGAACGAAAGUCAGAGGAUCGAAGGCGAUUAGAUACCGCCCCUAGUUCUGACACUAAACGAUGCCAACUAGCGAUCUGGCGGUGGCUAUUAAACCCCGCCUGGGAGCUUCCCGGAAACGAAAGUCUUCGGGUUCCGGGGGUAGUAUGGUUGCAAAGCUGAAACUUAAAGGAAUUGACGGAAGGGCACCCCCCGGAGUGGAGCCUGCGGCUUAAUUUGACUCAACACGGGAAAACUCACCCGGCCCGGACACUGUAAUGAUUGACAGAUUGAGAGUUCUUUCUUGAUUCGGUGGUUGGUGGUGCAUGGCCGUUCUUAGUUGGUGGAGUGAUUUGUCUGGUUUAUUCCGAUAACGAACGAGACUCUAACCUGCUAAAUAGUUCUGCAGUAGAUUCGCUGCAGCAACUUCUUAGAGGGAUCAGUGG